AAGUCGUAACAAGGUUUCCGUAGGUGAACCUGCGGAAGGAUCAUUACAAUACGUUCCAUACGUAUAAACCAAACGUUGAACUGAAAUGCGUCCGAUAGGAAUUUGGGUCUUGAAUGAGAGAGCCGGCGGCUUUGAGGUGGAUACACCAAACAAUCAAAACCCUCGUGUUUUGAAGGUGAUCAAAAGUGCCUCGGGUCGGUUCUUUUCCUUGUGCAGCUUCGUGCUCGCAACGGAAAACCCUGUUCCUAGUUCGCGUAUUUAUCCAAUCAUACACUUUUGGUUGCCUUUUUUUCAUUUUAACCCCUUUCACCUUUUCAAUUUUAAAACAUUGAACUGAUCUCGAGCUUUAAUCGGCUCGAUCAUUUUACGAAACGUAAGAACAACUCUUAACAACGGAUAUCUUGGCUCUC
rnacentral:misc_RNA from 1 species